rnacentral:rRNA from 1 species
AUUGAACGCUGGCGGCAGGCCUAACACAUGCCAGUCGAGCGGAUGAAGGGAGCUUGCUCCUGGAUUCAGCGGCGGACGGGUGAGUAAUGCCUAUGAAUCUGCCUGGUAGUGGGGGAUAACGUCCGGAAACGGGCGCUAAUACCGCAUACGUCCUGAGGGAGAAAGUGGGGGAUCUUCGGACCUCACGCUAUCAGAUGAGCCUAGGUCGGAUUAGCUAGUUGGUGGGGUAAAGGCCUACCAAGGCGACGAUCCGUAACUGGUCUGAGAGGAUGAUCAGGCACACUGGAACUGAGACACGGUACAGACUCCUACGGGAGGCAGCAGUGGGGAAUAUUGGACGAAGGGCGAAAGACUGAUCCAGCCAUGCCGCGUGUGUGAAGAAGGUCUUCGGAUUGUAAAGCACUUUAAGUGGGGAGGAAGGGCAGUAAGUUAAUACCUGGCUGUUUUGACGUUACCAACAGAAUAAGCACCGGCUAACUUCGUG